AUAGAUACCCCGGUAGUCCACGCCGUAAACGAUGAAUACUAGGUGUGGGGGUUGUCAUGACCUCCGUGCCGCCGCUAACGCAUUAAGUAUUCCGCCUGGGGAGUACGGUCGCAAGAUUAAAACUCAAAGGAAUUGACGGGGGCCCGCACAAGCAGCGGAGCAUGUGGUUUAAUUCGAAGCAACGCGAAGAACCUUACCUAGACUUGACAUCUCCUGAAUUACUCUGUAAUGGAGGAAGCCCUUCGGGGCAGGAAGACAGGUGGUGCAUGGUUGUCGUCAGCUCGUGUCGUGAGAUGUUGGGUUAAGUCCCGCAACGAGCGCAACCCUUAUUGUUAGUUGCUACCAUUUAGUUGAGCACUCUAGCGAGACUGCCCGGGUUAACCGGGGGGAAGGUGGGGAUGACGUCAAAUCAUCAUGCCCCUUAUGUCUAGGGCUACACACGUGCUACAAUGGCUGGUACAGAGAGAUGCAAUACCGCGAGGUGGAGCCAAACUUCAAAACCAGUCUCAGUUCGGAUUGUAGGCUGAAACUCGCCUAC
rnacentral:rRNA from 1 species